rnacentral:rRNA from 1 species
AGAGUUUGAUCCUGGCUCAGAUUGAACGCUGGCGGCGUGCCUAACACAUGCAAGUCGAGCGGUAACAGGUGUAGCAAUACAUGCUGACGAGCGGCGAACGGGUGAGUAAUGCUUUGGAAUCUUCCCAGUAGUGGGGAAUAACCAGUCGAAAGAUUGGCUAAUACCGCAUACGUCUGUAAAGGGAAAGCGGGGGCUCGUAAGACCUCGCGCUAUUGGAUGAGCCAAAGUCGGAUUAGCUAGUUGGUGGGGUAAUGGCCUACCAAGGCGACAAUCCGUAGCUGGUCUGAGAGGACGACCAGCCACACCGGAACUGAGACACGGUCCGGACUCCUACGGGAGGCAGCAGUGGGGAAUAUUGGACAAUGGGGGAAACCCUGAUCCAGCGACGCCGCGUGUGUGAAGAAGGCCUGCGGGUUGUAAAGCACUUUUAGUGGGGACAAAAAGCUACGGAUUAAUACUCUGUGGUCUUGAUUUAACCCAAAGAAAAAGCACCGGCUAACUCUGUGCCAGCAGCCGCGGUAAUACAGAGGGUGCGAGCGUUAAUCGGAAUUACUGGGCGUAAAGCGCGCGUAGACGGUUUUGUAAGUCAGAUGUGAAAUCCCUGGGCUCAACCUGGGAACUGCAUUUGAAACUGCAUGGCUAGAGUAUCGAAGAGGGAAGUGGAAUUUCCGGUGUAGCGGUGAAAUGCGUAGAUAUCGGAAGGAACACCAGUGGCGAAAGCGACUUCCUGGUCGAAUACUGACGUUCAUGUGCGAAAGCGUGGGGAGCAAACAGGAUUAGAUACCCUAGUAGUCC